rnacentral:rRNA from 1 species
UGGGGAAUAUUGCACAAUGGGCGCAAGCCUGAUGCAGCCAUGCCGCGUGUGUGAAGAAGGCCUUCGGGUUGUAAAGCAACUUUCAGCGAGGAGGAAGGUGGUGAGCUUAAUACGCUCAUCAAUUGACGUUACUCGCAGAAGAAGCACCGGCUAACUCCGUGCCAGCAGCCGCGGUAAUACGGAGGGUGCAAGCGUUAAUCGGAAUUACUGGGCGUAAAGCGCACGCAGGCGGUUUGUUAAGUCAGAUGUGAAAUCCCCGGGCUCAACCUGGGAACUGCAUUUGAAACUGGCAAGCUAGAGUCUCGUAGAGAGGGGUAGAAUUCCAGGUGUAGCGGUGAAAUGCGUAGAGAUCUGGAGGAAUACCGGUGGCGAAGGCGCCCCCCUGGANGAAGACUGACGCUCAGGUGCGAAAA